rnacentral:rRNA from 1 species
UACGGAGGGUGCGAGCGUUAAUCGGAAUAACUGGGCGUAAAGGGCACGCAGGCGGGCUUUUAAGUGAGAUGUGAAAUCACCGGGCUUAACCUGGGAAUAGCAUUUCAGACUGGGAGGCUAGAGUACUUUAGGGAGGGGUAGAAUUCCACGUGUAGCGGUGAAAUGCGUAGAGAUGUGGAGGAAGACCGAAGGCGAAGGCAGCCCCUUGGGGAAGUACUGACGCUCAUGUGCGAAAGCGUGGGGAGCAAACAGG